GAGGAAUAUUGGUCAAUGGGCGCUAGCCUGAACCAGCCAAGUAGCGUGAAGGACGGCUGCCCUAUGGGUUGUAAACUUCUUUUAUACGGGAAUAAAGUGAGGCACGUGUGCCUUUUUGUAUGUACCGUAUGAAUAAGGAUCGGCUAACUCC
rnacentral:rRNA from 1 species